UGGGGAAUCUUGCGCAAUGGGCGAAAGCCUGACGCAGCCAUGCCGCGUGAAUGAUGAAGGUCUUAGGAUUGUAAAACUCUUUCACCGGGGACGAUAAUGACGGUACCCGGAGAAGAAGCCCCGGCUAACUUCGUGCCAGCAGCCGCGGUAAUACGAAGGGGGCUAGCGUUGCUCGGAAUUACUGGGCGUAAAGGGAGCGUAGGCGGACUGUUAAGUUAGAGGUGAAAGCCCAGGGCUCAACCUUGGAAUUGCCUUUGAUACUGGCAGUCUUGAGUACGGAAGAGGUAUGUGGAACUCCGAGUGUAGAGGUGAAAUUCGUAGAUAUUCGGAAGAACACCAGUGGCGAAGGCGACAUACUGGUCCGUUACUGACGCUGAGGCUCGAAAGCGUGGGGAGCAAACAGG
rnacentral:rRNA from 1 species